GACGAACGCUGGCGGCGUGCUUAACACAUGCAAGUCGAACGGAAAGGCCCUGCUUUUGUGGGGUGCUCGAGUGGCGAACGGGUGAGUAACACGUGAGUAACCUGCCCUUGACUUUGGGAUAACUUCAGGAAACUGGGGCUAAUACCGGAUAGGAGCUCCUGCUGCAUGGUGGGGGUUGGAAAGUUUCGGCGGUUGGGGAUGGACUCGCGGCUUAUCAGCUUGUUGGUGGGGUAGUGGCUUACCAAGGCUUUGACGGGUAGCCGGCCUGAGAGGGUGACGGGCCACAUUGGGACUGAGAUACGGCCCAGACUCCUACGGGAGGCAGCAGUGGGGAAUAUUGCACAAUGGGCGGAAGCCGGAUGCAGCAACGCCGCGUGCGGGAUGACGGCCUUCGGGUUGUAAACCGCUUUCGCCUGUGACGAAGCGUGAGUGACGGUAAUGGGUAAAGAAGCACCGGCUAACUACGUG
rnacentral:rRNA from 1 species